CGUUCCCAGAAACGAUCUGAAGUGAUAGGGACGUACGCAUUCUGUGGACAGAACCAUCUGGCAGCGAUUGGGGUGACCCUGGGAGUGUUCUGUACCUUGAUCCCCGCGAGGAAGGGAACCAUCACCAAAUACAUCGCACGUGCUAACGUAUCGGGGCAGCUGGCGUGCUACAUGACAGCGUGUAUUGCAGGAAUGCUGUAUGAUGAAUCGUUUGUCUGAACCUCCCUUGUUCAGGAGUAAUGGAUGUGGAUGUAAAUAAUGCUUUCCGACUCAAAAUAAUCUUCUGCGUUCUGGCCCAGGAGAAUCGAACCCGGAUUUGUUCGUAGAUGUUUCAGAAUGAUAUCCGAGAAAUCAGGAAAUAAGCACAUGUAAUACUUUCAACCG